UACGAGGGGGGCAAAUGUUGUUCGGAAUCACUGGGCGUAAAGGGAGCGUAGGCGGGUUUUUAAGUCCGGUGUUUAAUCCCGGGGCCCAACCCCGGACAGGCACUUGAAACUGGGAAUCUUGAAUAGUGGAGAGGUCGGUGGAAUUGGGGGUGUAGCGGUGGAAUGCGUAGAGAUCCCCAAGAACACCCGUUGCGAAGGCGGCCGACUGGACACAUAUUGACGCUGAGGCUCGAAAGCAUGGGGAGCAAACAGG
rnacentral:rRNA from 1 species